GAUGAACGCUAGCGGCAGGCUUAAUACAUGCAAGACGAACGGUAAGUAUUGUAGCAAUAUAAUACGAGAGUGUCGUACGGGUGCGUAACACGUAUGCAACCUACCUUGUACAGGCGGAUAGCUCGGGGAAACUCGAAUUAACCCGCCAUAAUAUCAUUGAAUGGCAUCGUUUGAUGAUUAAAACUCAGGUGGUACAAGAUGGGCAUGCGACUGAUUAGCAGUUGGUAGUGUAACGGACUACCAAGGCAAUGAUCAGUAGGGGACCUGAGAGGGUGAUCCCCCACACUGGGCACUGGAGAGUACGGGCCAGACUCCUACGGGAGGCAGCAGUAGGGAAUAUUGGUCAAUGGGUGAGAGCCUGAACCAGCCAUGCCGCGUGCAGGAAGAAGG
rnacentral:rRNA from 1 species